AUCCAGCUGACGAGCCAGAAAUGUGGCGAAACGCUCGUCCUGGAU
rnacentral:hammerhead_ribozyme from 1 species